rnacentral:rRNA from 1 species
AGUGAACGCUGGCGGUAGGCCUAACACAUGCAAGUCGAACGGCAGCACAGGAGAGCUUGCUCUCUAGGUGGCGAGUGGCGGACGGGUGAGGAAUACAUCGGAAUCUGCCCAGUCGUGGGGGAUAACGUAGGUAAACUUACGCUAAUACCGCAUACGACCUUCGGGUGAAAGAGGGGGAUCGCAAGACCUCUCGCGAUUGGAUGAGCCGAUGUCGGAUUAGCUAGUUAGCGGGGUAAUGGCCCACCAAGGCGACGAUCCGUAGCUGGUCUGAGAGGAUGAUCAGCCACACUGGAACUGAGACACGGUCCAGACUCCUACGGGAGGCAGCAGUGGGGAAUAUUGGACAAUGGGCGCAAGCCUGAUCCAGCCAUACCGCGUGGGUGAAGAAGGCCUUCGGGUUGUAAAGCCCUUUUGUUGGGAAAGAAAUCUUUCAGGCUAAUACCCUGGGAGGAUGACGGUACCCAAAGAAUAAGCACCGGCUAACUUCGUG